rnacentral:rRNA from 1 species
AUUGAACGCUUGCGGUAGGCCUAACACAUGCAAGUCGAGCGGAGCGGCGGACGGGUUAGUAAUGCCUAGGAAUCUGCCUGGUAGUGGGUGAACACGUCCGCAAACGGGCGCUAAUACCGCAUACUAUCAUAUGAACCAAGGUCGGAUUAGCUAGUUGGUGGGGUACAGACCUACCAAGGCGACGAUCCGUAACUGGUCUGAGAGGAUGAUCAGUCACACUGGAACUGAGGCACGGUCCAGACUCCGACGUGAGGCAGGAGUUGGGAAUAUUUGACAAUGGGAGAAAGCCUGAUCCAGCCACGCCGAGUGUGUGAAGAAGUUCUUCGGAUUGUAAAGCACUUUAAGUUGGGAGACGUUACCAACAGAAUACGCACCGGCUAACUUCGUGCCAGCAGCCGCGGUAAUAC